rnacentral:rRNA from 1 species
AUUGAACGCUGGCGGCAGGCCUAACACAUGCAAGUCGAGCGGAUGACGGGAGCUUGCUCCUGGAUUCAGCGGCGGACGGGUGAGUAAUGCCUAGGAAUCUGCCUGGUAGUGGGGGACAACGUUUCGAAAGGAACGCUAAUACCGCAUACGUCCUACGGGAGAAAGCAGGGGACCUUCGGGCCUUGCGCUAUCAGAUGAGCCUAGGUCGGAUUAGCUUGUUGGUGAGGUAAUGGCUCACCAAGGCGACGAUCCGUAACUGGUCUGAGAGGAUGAUCAGUCACACUGGAACUGAGACACGGUCCAGACUCCUACGGGAGGCAGCAGUGGGGAAUAUUGGACAAUGGGCGAAAGCCUAAUCUAGCCAUGCCGCGUGUGUGAAGAAGGUCUUCGGAUUGUAAAGCACUUUAAGUUGGGAGGAAGGGUUGUAGAUUAAUACUCUGCAAUUUUGACGUUACCGACAGAAUAAGCACCGGCUAACUCUGUGACAGCCGCCGCCGUAAUAC